rnacentral:piRNA from 1 species
UGGCCGUGGUUGAUGGCAUGUUGCACC